AGUGAACGCUGGCGGUAGGCCUAACACAUGCAAGUCGAACGGCAGCACAGUAAGAGCUUGCUCUUACGGGUGGCGAGUGGCGGACGGGUGAGGAAUACAUCGGAAUCUACUUUUUCGUGGGGGAUAACGUAGGGAAACUUACGCUAAUACCGCAUACGACCUACGGGUGAAAGCAGGGGAUCUUCGGACCUUGCGCGAUUGAAUGAGCCGAUGUCGGAUUAGCUAGUUGGCGGGGUAAAGGCCCACCAAGGCGACGAUCCGUAGCUGGUCUGAGAGGAUGACCGCCCCAACUGGAACUGAAACCGGCCCCAGCCCCCGCCGGGAGGAACCAGUGGGGAAUAUUGGACAAGGGGCGAAAGCUGUACCCACCCAUCCCGCGGGGGUGAAGAGGGCUUUGGGUUUGUAAAGCCUUUUUUUGGGGAAAAAAAAGAAGCGGUUUAAUACCCCCCUUUUCGGAGGGGACCCAAAAAAAAAGCCCCGGCUAACUUCGGG
rnacentral:rRNA from 1 species